rnacentral:ncRNA from 1 species
CGGGGGCACUGCAGCCUCCCGUCAAAUGGAGCUCUCUCCAUGCAAGCGCUGC